UGCCCAGCAACUCCUAUCCCUACAUCCUCGCGGUACUGGCCGGAGUACAAGUAACCUUAGGGAAGAUCGGGUAACCAACCAACGGUGGGAACUUUGGUCGUAUGCUGACAGGGAAGG
rfam:Aedes aegypti strain Liverpool supercont1.24 genomic scaffold, whole genome shotgun sequence.